AAGCGGCUACCUUGGAACAAAUAGUUCUAAUUCCGUAUAAUACUGGGUAAAUAAAUAAGAUUAACACAUUAUUAUGUUUUUCAUUGAGGUUAAAUGUAUACUCACAUUGAAGAUGUUUAUUGUAGUUUUCAUUGGAUGUUGCAUGUCAUCGAUCUUCGAGAGAACUGUGUUUAUGUUUUGGACUCUCUUCAAAAGGAUUAAAAACAUGGCAAGCUAAGCAUGAUUUACAACAUUAUCGGUCAAAUCCGAAAUGGAAACCUAUAAAGUGUCCUCGUCAAUUGGAUUCGGUUGGGUGUGGGUAUUAUGUCCAAAAGUAUAUACAUGAAAUCGUGCAUAAUUCUAGUACUCCCAUCACUAGCCUUGUAAGUUUCUACUUUCACUUUUUAUAUGUUACAAAUUACAUAAAUUAUCUA